AUAAUACUCCCUCCGUCCGAAAAUACUUGUCAUCAGAAUGGAUAAAAAGAGAUGUAUCUAGAACUAAAAUACGUCUAGAUACAUCCCCUUUUAUCCAUUUUGAUGACAAGUAUUUCCGGACGGAGGGAGUAAAAU
rnacentral:pre_miRNA from 1 species